CAGCAUCUGGACUUCCUCUUCAUGCAAAUGAGGAGUACCUAGUACCUCAGCUCCAGCCAAUAGUUUUCCCUGAUGGAAGCAUGUCCAGUCAGGUACAUAGCUGGGUAAGAACCGGUGAGGGGACCAAGGGCAGCACAAGAUCAUUUUGGCUCUUCAUCUGCAAUAUUCCAACUCUCCCAGGCCACGUAAGUCCUAACCAGUCUGUAGAACUGAUGUGGGUAAGGCUUUCCCAGGGGACUUCAGUUAACAGUGCUAAUCAGCUCCUUUCUAAGUGAGACUUAAAUAAGACUCUGGACACAUUGCCUCAGUGGCAAUGUAUUAGAAGCUAUUCUUCCUGACAGGAAAUCUAGGCAUUUUCUUCAGCUAUCUCUGAAGUUCAAGGCACACAGGAAAAUCUCAGUUCCCCCUACUGCUUGAUGGCUGGCAACUUUAAAGUUUAGUUUUUAAAAAUUUAUUUAUUUUCAUAGCCACUUUGUUAGAUCCUAAGAAGGAACUUCUAGUCUAGACUUAUCCUGAAAGGCCACAGCUUGGAGAAAUUCAAUCAGUGCUGUAUGUCAGAAUCUCUGGGAAGAGUUCAACAGUAUCAGAAAAGGGCCACAUUCCCCAGACUGAUGCAUGUGGAGUGGCCCAGACAACAGUGUUUUAAAAAACUGCUUGUGUUUAGACUUUUUCCACCAAGUGUAUAGAUCUGAGAACCCAGAACUGGAUUUAAUCCUACUGAUUCAUAACUUGACACAUAAAAAUACCAUUGAUAUCAACAUUUUAGGAGUAUUAACAAAGACAUACACACACACACACACAACCAGUCACACUCAGGGACACAGAGAAACAGCCAUGCAUAGCAACACAGAGAAACACAAAGUCAGCCCUCCCCUCCAUAUUUCUCCUCUCCCUCCCUCCUGCCCCCUCUUUCCCUUCCACCCCACAGCAGCCAGCCUCUCUAAGUACUGGUAUAUAACCAGGGCAGCCGAGGGGAGCUGGACUGUGUGGCACUGACUCUCAUGUACUUUCAUCUAGCUGGGUAACAGAAAGAAUUCAUCUGAAAGAAUCAGGGAGCACCAUUUGAGGUGGCAUCUAUUUUGUAAAAUGGUUUUAAAAUCCUUGCAAAGCCAGAGAGAUCACCAUCAGGGGCAGAGUACACCACUCUCAGAGUCAGUGACAGCCACACCAAAUAACUAGACAGGACAUCAACGAAUUAACCCAGUCACCUUGGAGUCAUGCCUCCUGCACCCAAGUCCUACUUGAUCAUUUAGACAUGCAGGAGCAAUGGAAGGGAACUGAUGGCUAUGAUCUGAGAGAUUUGGAAGCAUCUUGCUGGAAUGGAAAAGGGAUGUGGCUUUCCAAGUUCGUGAAAGGGCUUAAGUCAUGACAUGGAGUUAAGGGAACAUCUGCAGGUGUGGAAGACACGUCAGCCAGGGUGAAAGGGCAGAGGACUGAGAGAUAGAGAACAUUGCAGGUUAGGGAGUGUGGAGGACAAGGGAGACCUUGAAGACAAAGCAGAGGGAGAAAGGAGUAGAGGCUAUGUCUUUCUCCAGAGACCAGAGUAAUGGUGACACCACUGACUUGGCUGAAAAAGUUGAAGCAGCAGCCAGACUUGGCCUGGGGUCUCAGGUAUAGGAAGGACUACUAAAAGAUGAUCAGGAGAUAGGCGGGUCUGGGACAGGGGUUCCACAGCCCGGAUGAAAGGACUGCACUUCGAGUGUAAUUUAAAGACUGUCUGCAGGGUGUCUGGUCUCUAGGACUGUGAAGUUUACAAGGUGGAUAGGUGAGAACAGGUCUAGAGCAAAAGCUGGGUGGAGGGAUUAUCAUUCUAUUUUCCCCAGUGACUGAGGAAACCUGGGGCACAUGCUGGGGGUGGGCAAUGAAGCUCAAUGGUCAGAGGAUGGAGAGGGUUGAGGGCCCCGCAUCUAAGAUAAUUGAUCUACAAAGGACUUUGAACAUUAACAAAAUUAAAACGACAAACAGUACCCUACAACUGGCCACACAGCAAAGACUCAGGCAGCAUCUUGGCUCUGUUCUCUAAGACAGUUUCACACAGCAGCCUCAGCCAUCCAAGCCAAUGUGAACAUUAUGGCUCCACAUGCUCCCUUUCUGCACCUCUGGAAUGAGGACAGUGGCAGACCUUGGUUAAACACACAGCUGUGUGUGUGGUUCUACCCUCAGUCUAAGGGUAUGUCUUCCACUGUGCUCGAAUGAACUCUCAACCCCUCUCCCUUACAUCUGAAGUGUGUACUAUCUCCUCUCUCUGCUUGAACAACACUAAAUUUGCCUGCCAUGAAUUCUAAGACUCUUCGGAGGCAGGGAAGGACGUGGCUUUGCUGGAGUAGAGGUAGACUGUCACUGCUGCUCCCACCUUGGAAAACAAAGGAGAGAAUACUUCUGAAAAGGGCUGGUCUGUCUAGAGUGCCCAGAUCAUCACAGAUGUCACUACACUGGCUGAUGCUGGAAGCCUUGAGAGCUUUGUGAAGCUCCUAGAGCUGGGAGAGCCGGUGGUAGCCUGUCUCCAGUCCUCACCAGCUGUGCCUCAGUUCUCCUCACUGUAACUGGAGGGUAACUAUAGCACCUGCCUUAUAGUUGGCAGGAGGAUCCGUGUCAACACUCUGUGUCAAGGACUUAGAAUGAUCACUGGCACAGUGCGGACAUUCCAUAAAUAAUACAUAUUAUUGGCACAUACAAUUAAGCAAAACCCAAACAAAACCCUUUGAAGAACAUUUAAUAAAAUACUCUAAAAAUAUGUUUAUUGUAACUAAUGAAUAUAAAAAUCUGACAGAUGUUUUCAAACAUUCUCCAAAGAAAGUAAAACCCUUACCCCUGCCCCACUGUUCAUGAAAUACAGGAAUAACAACUUGGACAGAAAAGCAGACACGUUUGCACACAAGAUUUUCACUCAACAAUUGGUCCUAAAAGGCUCCAAUACAUUUCUAAGUAAAGGUCCAUUAAAUUAAGAAGCCACAAGUUGUUUGACACUUUCGUAGUUUAACUUAGUUCCUAUCAGCAUUAUGAUGUUCAUUCAAAAUACUGAGGGACAAGAGGUGAUUCUGUGACAGAUACCCAAAGCACAUGGCUCUACAAAGCUACAAAUGUUCAUGAGGAUACAGACUGAGGAAUUAAACAUUAACAUAGAAAUGGAUCUGAGAGAAUUUAUGUAUAGUUUAGCCUUUGGCAUCUGGUAUAACAUGUUUCUUCUUCAUAGAGACACUGCACUAUUCAACUUAUUAACCAGAAUAAGUUUCUCCAAACACAUUUCUCAUCAAACACAGAUUGUCCACAGCCAAUUUCACUUGAGGUAGUUGGGCUGUUUAAUGACAUUCUAGUGAAGUUCUCAUGCACACAGGAAUCAUCCGGUACCCCAUGCCAUGAGGCUGGCUCAUCAGCCAUCUAGAUCACCCUUCUCUUCACCAACUCCACCUACACAUCUGAAUGGACACUUGGGGCUCUCUGGGAAUGAGACCAGUUGUGUAAUGAAGCCACCCGUCCUAAGGCUGAUGGAACCACCCACCUCAGGGUGAGGGGACCACCUUGCCCAAGGCUAUGUGUAAAGGGAAGAUACUGACCAUACUGUAAAUAUAUAAGACAUUUAAAACAAGCAGGAUGUCCCCACACAGCUUGACUAGAAACACUUUGUACCCUGAAGAAGUGACUCAAGGGUUCACAAUUUACAAGAAUUCUGAAAACUGCAAUGCAGGGUAGUGGCAUUUUUUCCUUUCCAUUAAAGGCCAUAUAUAGACAAUGGAGAAGAGGAUCAAUGCAUGCGACCUCUGUACCAGAGGCAUUACCAGUGACUGGGUGGUCAUGCCCUAGAGUUCCCAAAUGCAGCUGUACAGCAAGAAAUCAUGCAAAUGGUCUGCAGCAGAGUCUAGACAGGGUUGGACUGGGAGAAUUCACAGGGAAGGACCAGUGUGCAGUGAAGGACCCUCAACUAAUGUAAUGCCACUAUAACCUUGUCAUGGAUAAAGUCUUCAAAUGCCACUCGACAGCUGGCGGAUAUUUAUGUCAUUGUGUAACUCCUGAGUAAGCUACUGCAGGCUACAAAGGGACACAUGGAAGUAGAACACAUAUGUCAUAUCACUUCAUGUGCACAUCACAGGAUGGGUCUGAUGCACAUGACCAUGUAGUCUGCACAGUGUCACAAAGCAUCCCAUGUCUGGCUUUCUCUGCCCAAAUGCAUUAGAUGUCAGAGUAAUGGCCCAACACGUAUUCCAGUUACUCAGAACUCUUCUAUCCAGACACCUUAGAAUUUAAAAAUGAUUGGUAGUGAAAUGAAACAUGAGGGUAGGGAUUUGAACCGUUGUAAACCUGUGACUAAAAUCAGAAGCAGUGGUUUGAAUUGAUGAUUCAGAAACACAACAUGACAUAGCUCCAUGCCUGAAGGACAUAGUGGUCUAGUAGGAAACACAUUUAAAAAAUUCUUUUAAAUGUCCCCAAAAUGCCUUAUAUCUUGUAUUGCUCACAACCCUCUGACUUCUGUUGCUUUGUCUGAAAUCUCUCCCUGUAAAAUGACUGUUACAGUCGGACUAGUUAAGAGUUCUUCAGCUCUUCUCACUUCAAGUUUAACCAAGUGUCCCGUGUUUGUGGACCGCAUCAGACGCUUCCUGCACCUGGAAAUACUCCACAGACAGAAGCGGACUGCACUAACUGUCCAUGGAGCAAUCAAAGCCGAGGCAUGGGCUGAGAUCAUCCUCUUGAGCCACCGUUCCACCUGACAAUAGGCAUGGCAGUCCUUGUCAGUGUUUACCCACAACUGCCCACAUGUCUGCACUACACAGCCCUUCCCAUCUGCAGAGCAACGGAGAAGGGAUCCACUCAAGAAAGUCUAGGAAUAACAAACUCUUACACAGCAAGUCCUUCAAUGAAGGGGCUUACACUCCCUCUGAUGCCCAGUCAGCCUCUAAGCUAUUCUCAUCACUGACUUUGUAUUAUAGCCCUGCAUACUGAGUGGGUUUAGGUGCCCAUUAAAACUAGUAACUGAAACAGAA